UAACCUGCCCAAGAGAUCGGGAUAACACCUGGAAACAGAUGCUAAUACCGGAUAACAACAGAUGAUGCCUAUCAACUGUUUAAAAGAUGGUUCUGCUAUCACUCUUGGAUGGACCUGCGGUGCAUUAGCUAGUUGGUAGGGUAACGGCCUACCAAGGCGAUGAUGCAUAGCCGAGUUGAGAGACUGAUAGGCCACAUUGGGACUGAGACACGGCCCAAACUCCUACGGGAGGCAGCAGAC
rnacentral:rRNA from 1 species